AGAAAUGAAGCUGAUUUUGCUGCAGCUGCAAAAGCUCCAGGCGAACAGAUCAACCCUGGAUGAAGUUCCAGAUUUGACAGACCUUCGACUUCCAAUGUUCUCGCUGGAAGACUUGAGGAGAGUUGAGGGCCAACUUUCAGAUCAAGACUUAAAAAAAGAACCUGACCAUAUACUUGGGACUGUCUGGAGGGAUGACCACCAAGGAGAAUGUGUGGAGAAUACUUUCAAAACUCCUUACAAAUGGCCUGGCCAUGAAAAUGAAUUGGAGAGGGGCCAAUGGGAAACAGGCUUUUGAACCUCUUGCCUUAAAAAGUGUUGUUAUCCUUCCUGAUGUGGAGAUAGAAAAAGACAUAAAACGAUGGAUGCAGCUAGCCCCUGGCAGAGAUGGAAGGAGAAAAAGGAGAGAGCGAGUGAGAAGUGACCAGACCUAGGAGGAGUGAUGGAGAAAACUGAAUGCCUACUAGAGCUUAAAAAGAAAGAAAGCUUAAAUAGACAAAAUCAAACUACUUCUCAUUUCUGUGAUUAAUUUUUUAAUUUUUUAUUUAAAUUAAAUUAUUUAAGAGUC